UACGAGAGGCCCAAACGUUAUUCGGAAUUACUGGGCUUAAAGAGUUCGUAGGCGGCGCAGAAAGUAGGGUGUGAAAGCCCUCGGCUCAACCGAGGAAUUGCGCUCUAAACUACUGUGCUUGAGGAAUCUAGAGGUGAGCGGAACUGAUGGUGGAGCGGUGAAAUGCGUUGAUAUCAUCAGGAACACCAGUGGCGAAGGCGGCUCACUGGACCGGUACUGACGCUGAAGCGCGAAAGCGUGGGGAGCAAACGGG
rnacentral:rRNA from 1 species